AUUGAACGCUGGCGGCAGGCCUAACACAUGCAAGUCGAACGAGUGGCGGACGGGUGAGUAAUGUCUGGGAAACUGCCUGAUGGAGGGGGAUAACUACUGGAAACGGUAGCUAAUACCGCAUACCAUCGGAUGUGCCCAGAUGGGAUUAGCUAUGAGGUGGGGUAACGGCUCACCUAGGCGACGAUCCCUAGCUGGUCUGAGAGGAUGAACAGCAACACUGCAACUGAGACACGGUCCAGGCUCCUACGGGAGGCAGCAGUGGGUAAUAGUGCACAAUGGGCGCAAGCCUGAUGCAGCCAUGCCGCGUGUAUGAAGAAGGCCUUCGGGUUGUAAAGUACUUUCAGCUGGGAGGCGUUACCCGCAGAAGAAGCACCGGCUAACUCCGUGCCAGCCGCCGCGGUAAUUC
rnacentral:rRNA from 1 species